rnacentral:rRNA from 1 species
UACGUAGGGUGCGAGCGUUGUCCGGAAUUAUUGGGCGUAAAGAGCUUGUAGGCGGUCUGUCGCGUCUGCUGUGAAAAUCCGGGGCUCAACCCCGGACUUGCAGUGGGUACGGGCAGACUAGAGUGUGGUAGGGGAGACUGGAAUUCCUGGUGUAGCGGUGAAAUGCGCAGAUAUCAGGAAGAACACCCGUGGCGAAGGCGGCUCUCUGGUACGUGACUGACGCUGAGACGCGAAAGCGUGGGGAGCGAACAGG